rnacentral:rRNA from 1 species
UACGUAGGCAGCAAGCGUUGUUCGGAGUUACUGGGCGUAAAGGGUGCGUAGGUGGCUCUAUAAGUAUGGUGUGAAAUCUCCCGGCUUAACUGGGAGGGUGCGCCGUAGACUGUGGGGGCUAGAGUGUGGGAGAGGAAAGUGGAAUUCCUGGUGUAGCGGUGAAAUGCGUAGAUAUCAGGAGGAACACCGGUGGUGUAAACGGCUUUCUGGACCAUAACUGACACUGAGGCACGAAAGCGUGGGUAGCAAACAGG